CAAAUUUUAAAAAUAAAAAUAAUGAAUAAACAAUAAAAUAAUAAUAAUAAUAACAAACCGUCUCUUUCAUUCUCCCGCUCGCCAAACCCUCAGUGCCUCGAAGCCUCCGUAACUUCCUCUCGAAUCCUCUCUGCAACUUCUUCCAUCUCAGGUUAAUCGUUCUCCUGGACUAUUGUGGCUCUAUGGGUAAAGGACGUGUUCGUGGCAUGAAGUUAGGACCGACCUCCACCAUAGUGUUCAAGUCUACACCACGUCAAUUUACGGAGAUUGAGAUUCAUAAUGAGGCCAAUAUGGAAGAUUACCAAAAUGUAGAUGCUAGACUUUCGAUAUUAGAAUUGAAAAUGGCCAAUAUGAUUUCAAUCUUGGAACAAAAUGGUUUCAUGCAAUCCAAUAAUCCGACUGCUGCACAUACAAAUGGUGAUUUGCCAUACUGUAUCUACAAGAAUCCUGGACGUGUUUGUAGCAUGAGAUUACAACCUACAUCGACUCAAGUGUUCAGAUCUAUCUCACAUCGGAAUAUCCGUAACGAGGCUCGUAUGGAUCAAAAUGUAGAUACUAGACUUUCAAUAUUAGAGGCUCAAAUGACCAAAGUAGUUGCAAUUUUACGACGAAAUGGUCUCAUGCAAGGCAACAUGUGAGCAAGACCAACCACAAACCUUUCAAGAAAGGUACGACUCAUUUUAUGUUUUAUAGUCUUGUUCUUUCCUAACUUAAGUUAAUCAUUAUUAUCAUGAUUAUUUAUUGUUAGAAACAGGGAGUUAACACACUAAUGAUGCUCAAGUUCGUGAAGUCAACUCAGCAUCUUUCAUAAUUUUUAGUUGUUUGUAAUGGCGAAAAGGAUUUGAUUUCCUAACUUUAGAGUUAAAUAUUGUUAUUGUGUUUGUUUUUCUUUUUUUGGAUGAUAUCAAGUAUGUAUUAGAGUAUGCUUCUAUUUUCAACCCUUUUUUGUGUUGAAACCUCAUUGAUGGUAGUAUUAGUGUGCACAUGUAUGUAUAGAUUUGCAUUUACAAAA